rnacentral:rRNA from 1 species
UACGUAGGGUCCGAGCGUUUGUCCGGAAUUAUUGGGCGUAAAGGGCUCGUAGGCGGUUAGUCGCGUCGGGAGUGAAAACUCAGGGCUCAACCCUGAGCGUGCUUCCGAUACGGGCUGACUAGAGGUAUGCAGGGGAGAACGGAAUUCCUGGUGUAGCGGUGGAAUGCGCAGAUAUCAGGAGGAACACCGGUGGCGAAGGCGGUUCUCUGGGCAUUACCUGACGCUGAGGAGCGAAAGCAUGGGGAGCGAACAGG